AUGAACUCCCUUUCCCCCUACACGGUAUCUGAGAUCAUGGACCUCAUGGGAAGGAACAUGCAUCAGCUCUGGUUCCUCCUCUUUCUGGUGGCAGCUCCCAGCUGUACUGUGUCUGCUCUGACCCUACAGGAGUCGGGCCCAGGACUGGUGAAGCCCUCCCAGACCAUCUCCCUCACCUGCUCUGUCUCUGGUGGCUCUGUCAGCAGCAGUUACUACUGGAAUUGGAUCCGCCAGAGCCCUGGGAAAGGGUUUGAAUGGAUGGGGUACUGGAGCGGUGGUACCAGCUACAACCCAGCAUUCCAGGGCCGCAUCUCCAUCACGGCUGACACCUCCAAGAACCAGUUCUCUCUGCAGUUGAGCUCUGUGACCCCCGAGGACACAGCCGUGUAUUACUGUGCAAGAAGUAAGCACAGUGAUGGGAAGUCAGGGUAA